GCUUCAAAUGGGUACAGCACCAAUGGUGACGAAAGAGGCUAUGGCUAUGAACUUGCUCAAGUCCAGAGCAGCAAUGGGCGGGGUGACACUGAAGGUUCGUCAAAGACUGCUUUCAACUGAGCCCUGUAUUGCCCUUUCAAAAUAAAAAAGUGUAUCAAUUCA